rnacentral:tRNA from 1 species
GUCCCCUUCGUCUAGAGGCCUAGUACAUCGCCCUUUCACGGCGGCAACAGGGGUCCGAAUCCCCUAGGGGACGCAA